ensembl:lncRNA
CUGAUGUGGUCUGUGGGUUGGUCUUUCAUCAAGCAGAUGAUCUAAUGGAGUAACUUCUAGGGUAAUUAUGAGGCAACUGUCUCAAACAGCAGUAAUGAAUCAUGCGAUGUAAAGCAGUCUCAUGCCUGUGCGAUGGGAAAUCCAUGGACAAUGAACACAACUUCUGCGUGUAGACUGGAGCAGUCUAGGACACGGUUCCUGAUUUUGAAUUACUCUCUGCUCUGUUUGACUUUCCUCAUCGGGACUGCGGCGAAUCUGCUCGUGUGUUGGGUCGCUUUCCGAGAUAAAAGCCUGCGCACUGGCAGCAACGCGCUGCUGGUGAACCUGGCCGCUGGAGAUCUGAUCAGAUGUUUAGUAGACUCUCCGGUGUUCUUGGCCUUGUUAGUUCUGAGAGAGAAGCGCGUGAGGAACGGCUCGGUGCUGUGCCGCGUUCAGCAGCUCACUUAUUUACUGUGCAGCUGCGCUCAGUUACUCACACUGGCGACCAUCAGCGUGGAGAGAUCCCAGACCAUCGCGUCUCCGUUUAGCACCGACAAAAGGAAAGGACGGGUCCGGAUCUGGAUCCUGAUUAUUUGGAUCUUUGCACUUACAGUCGCGGUGUCCUCUCUGAUUCUGUCCGCAGAUCCCCUGUCCUACUCAAUGUGCCGCCACCUGCACUCUUUCGACGCCUAUGUUUUGAUUCCCAUCUGGACCUUAUGUGUUAUUUUGAUAACCGUUAACUACUUGCGCAUCUUCGUCGUCGUGAAGCAGCACUCUAAUAAGAUCUUGGACUCGGGAGUGCAGCCGAGGCUGUGUGUAGUGACGCGCGUCUCAAGCGGCCGGCUGGCCCAGUCCAGUGCACUAGAGGCGGGGGGAGGUGAGGGGAACUACCCGCGCUCGGGCCCUGAGAUCGUGGGCGCUGUUUGUGUUCUCACCCCUAAAGCCAAAGCGCUGGGCAAAGCAAGAGUAGAGGGAAAAUUAGCCAAGAGACUCGGCUACAUCAUCGCAAAUGUGGUCGUGUUCUGGAUGCCGCUGGUCCUCCUACUGACACUCAGACUGGUGCUGGAGUGCACAGAGUGCUGUAAUUCAUAUUAUUGUGUAUAAACAGUCAACUUUUAUCAUGGAACUUGAUAAUUAAGAUUUGGGGAAUGUGGGAGCUGGAGACCUUGGCGACAGUAUUGACGUGUGUACCUGCUGCUGUGGACCCGCUCAUAUACACGCUGCUCCAUCGCCACUUCUGCACCGAGUUCCGCAAACUCUUCUGCACCAAUCAGAGCUGCUGAUAACUGAUUGACCAAUCAGGAGCCGGCUCUGUGAAGAAGAUGAAGCCUUGUUUGAUCUGUAUCAAAUCUACUAAUCUAAAACAUCUACUGGGAUAAGAAAGGUUUAAUAUUCUGGUCUUGAAACAGAAAUAUAUGGUUAGAAGGC